UACAGAGGUCUCAAGCGUUGUUCGGAUUCAUUGGGCGUAAAGGGUGCGUAGGUGGCGCGCUAAGUCAGGUGUGAAAUCUCGGAGCUUAACUCCGAAACUGCAUUUGAUACUGGCGUGCUUUGAGGACUGGAGAGGAGACUGGAAUUCACGGUGUAGCAGUGAAAAUGCGUAGAUAUCGUGAGGAAGACCAGUGGCGAAGGCGG
rnacentral:rRNA from 1 species